UUUAGAAAAGGGGUGUGGCCAAACAUACCCCAAAGCCUAUAAAACCUAAACGAAAACUCAAAACUUUAUGAAACUCAGUGAAAUCAUGUAACAGGUGACUCUUAACAAGCAUGCAAAGUUUCAUGGAGAUCAGACCAUAGGUGGCGCUAUAACAGUAGAAAAGGUCUCAAAACACAAGAUUUAUAUGGUAAAUGGCCUCAAAUUGUUUGAAAAUGUUCAUAUAUUCACUCAAAAACACUAAAUCUUCAUAUCAUAUGAUACAUCUCCUCAUUCUGAACAACUUUGCCUCUGGGACCAAUGUUGUCAAUAAAGCUGUUAAUUAAAUAUUCAAGAUUAUUUAAAAAAGUUACUUUGGCAUACUUGUGAUAGGGUUUAAGAUGAAAAUCAAUAAAACCACUGAAGUACAAUUCUCUAGACUCUGAAGGUCAAUAAUUAUCAAAAACAUGUUGAACAAUUGCAUUUGGACAACUAUAAACCAGUGAUUGUAUAAUAUGUUAUUUGCAUAGUGUACACAAAGGCCUAUUUAUACAAACAGAAAGCCCACAAAUUAUCAAAACUGUGUAAAAUAAUGCAUGAUUUCAUUCUAAACAAGCAUGCAAAAUUUAAGAGAGAUUGGGCAAAAAAAAAUUACAACACUAUAACAGUUAUGUUUUAAAACACAGUGUUGUUUGAGUAAAUGCAAUUUAUAACCACUAGAUGGCAGCGGAAGACCACUAAUGGGCUCAUUCAGCUAGUUAAACAGUACUGUUUUCAUGAAUUCAUGCCAAAACAUUAAUACAUUAACUGUUAUAACAUUUUAAAUCUCAUUGAAUUGAUGUUUUCCAUUUUGUUUAUACAGAUGUAUCCGUUUUUACAAUUUUGCCACAUUAUGAUUACAGUUUAACCUGAAAAUGACAUCUAAACUCUGAAAAAGAGAAGACUUCCAAUAAUUUUAUGUCACCUAUCACUUAUUUCAAAUACCUAUAUCUGCAACAAAAUGUUUGUGCAUGUAUAUGUGUGUCUUUGUGUGUGUGUGUGUGUGUGCAUAUGCUUAUAGAGUAUACAUAUAUUAGUCUAAUCAUUUACUUUCAGUGUGUGUGUCUGUCUGUUAACCUGUUCUCCAUUUUGGAUGUGUUUAAAUGUCAUCCAAACAUCCAGGUUGGCUCUGACCACCUCAGAUGCCUUAAAUGCUUGAACCCCGGUAAAAUGCUGCUUGCAGCUUUAAUUAUUAUUAUUAUUAUUAUUCUUCUGCCCUAAAACUGAACGUGCAGCCCAAACCGUAAGGCCUAGAGAGCUGAAAUUUGGACAGAUCGUAGAGCUCAAUUUGGGGAGAACUUAUCAAAGUCUCAGCCCAAUCGGCCUAACGGGGGCGCUACAGCGCAAAAAGCAAAAAUUUUGGACAUUUUUGGCCGUAAAUCGUAUACCGUUAGCCGUAGACUCAAAAACAUGGCAUUGUUGCAAUCCUUGGGUUAGCCCGAACAAAAGUGCACGGCGCCUUUUUGGGGUCUACGACGCACCGUUUUCUCGCAAAAUCGAGCUAUAUCCGAAACCUACUUUUGCGAACUAGUCCUAGGAUUUUCAACCAAUCAGAACCAAACCACUUCAUAAAUAUUCCCUGGACACUCAAUAUCAAUAAUUAUCAAAAAAAAGUUGAAAUUUCAAUUCUUACGCGAAACAGUAUGCCAAAAAGCGUCUAUGCUAACGUUAGCCAAAUGCUAUUUUGACUAUAACUCAUGAACGAAAUGAG